UACGAAGGGGGCGAGCGUUGUUCGGAUUUACUGGGCGUAAAGGGCGCGCAGGCGGCACAUUUUUGUCAGGCGUGAAAGCCCCGGGCUUAACCUGGGAACUGCGUUUGAUACGGAUGGGCUAGAGUUCGGGAGAGGAGAGUGGAAUUCCCAGUGUAGAGGUGAAAUUCGUAGAUAUUGGGAAGAACACCGGUGGCGAAGGCGGCUCUCUGGACCGAGACUGACGCUGAGGCGCGAAAGCGUGGGGAGCAAACAGG
rnacentral:rRNA from 1 species